rnacentral:rRNA from 1 species
UAACGCGAAGAACCUUACCUGGUCUUGACAUCCCGGUGAAUGCAGGGCAAUGCCUGCAGCCCUUCGGGGCACUGGAGACAGGUGGUGCAUGGUUGUCGUCAGCUCGUGUCGUGAGAUGUUGGGUUAAGUCCCGCAACGAGCGCAACCCUUAUCCUUAGUAGCCAGCGGCUAGGCCGGGCACUCUAGGGAGACUGCCGGGGGCAACCCGAAGGAAGGCGGGGAUGACGUCAAAUCAUCAUGCCCCUUAUGGCCAGGGCUACACACGUGCGACAAUGACGCAAACAGAGGGAAGCGGACCGGUGACGGCGAGCGAAUCCCAAAAAGUGCGUCCCAGUUCGGAUUGUAGUCUGCAACUCGACUACAUGAAGCCGGAAUCGCUAGUAAUCGCGGAUCAGAAUGCCGCGGUGAAUACGUUCCCGGGUCUUGUACACACGCA